UACGUAGGGUGCAAGCGUUGUCCGGAAUUAUUGGGCGUAAAGAGCUCGUAGGCGGUUUGUCGCGUCUGCUGUGAAAUCCCGAGGCUCAACCUCGGGCCUGCAGUGGGUACGGGCAGACUAGAGUGCGGUAGGGGAGAUUGGAACUCCUGGUGUAGCGGUGGAAUGCGCAGAUAUCAGGAAGAACACCGAUGGCGAAGGCAGAUCUCUGGGCCGUAACUGACGCUGAGGAGCGAAAGCAUGGGGAGCGAACAGG
rnacentral:rRNA from 1 species